UACGGGGGGGGCGAGCGUUGUUCGGAAUUACUGGGCGUAAAGGGCGCGUAGGCGGUUUGUUAAGUUGGGUGUGAAAACUCUGGGCUUAACCCAGAGCCUGCAUUCAAAACUGACAGGCUUGAGUUCUGGAGGGGAUAGCGGAAUUCCUGGUGUAGCGGUGAAAUGCGUAGAUAUCAGGAGGAACACCGGUGGCGAAGGCGGCUAUCUGGACAGAAACUGACGCUGAGGCGCGAAAGCUAGGGGAGCAAACAGG
rnacentral:rRNA from 1 species